rnacentral:sRNA from 1 species
CCUUUUCAAAGCUUCGAUGGUGUAGCCGAAGUUCAUAUGAGUCUUUGGCUCUGUAUCUUCUAGCAUCGA